AUACGUAGGGUGCGAGCGUUGUCCGGAAUUACUGGGCGUAAAGAGCUCGUAGGUGGUUUGUCGCGUCGUCUGUGAAACUCCGGGGCUUAACUCCGGGCGUGCAGGCGAUACGGGCAUAACUUGAGUACUGUAGGGGAGACUGGAAUUCCUGGUGUAGCGGUGAAAUGCGCAGCUAUCAGGCGGAACACCGGUGGCGAAGGCGGGUUUUUGGGCAGUAACAGUCGCUGAGGAGACAAAGCAUGGGUAGCGACCAGGUUUAUAUGCCUGGGGAUUCAAUGCCGUAAACGGUGGGCGCUAGGUGUAGGGGUCUUCCACGACUUCUGUGCCGUAGCUAACGCGUUAAGCGCCCCGCCUGGGGAGUACGGCCGCAAGUAUGAAACUCAAAGGAAUUGGCGGGG
rnacentral:rRNA from 1 species